GUAAACAAAACCAAAAAAUCAAUACCAAGUUUUCAAAUCGUUUGCCAGUUCCUUGUGGAUAGUGUGCGAGGUGAUCGUUCGGCCAGAUUAUAUUUUUUCCGGGAGCAUCACUGACUGCAGGAAGCAUAUUUCGAGAAAAGACCGGAUCCAAUUUUUUGGAACUAGCUGAAGUAGUCUGCCAAAAUAAGCAUCUCGUGAAAUCCAGCAUACAGAGAAAACGACGAUGCCGUUUAAAAACCUGAUGACUUGCUACCGUUGGCAGGAAUGCAGGAUUAUCCACUUAAAUUCAGAGUGCUUGAUUUAGGAGGAUGGACACCAACUAUGCGGAUGUGCGCAGCACAGGGUCAGGCUUGCCAAAAGGUUCCGUGAGUGAUACCGUUGUUAUGAUUCAACCAAAGAGGUCAAUUACUAGCGUUGGUAUACGACAGAAACGUCGUAAAACUUGUUCAAGGCAAUCUUAGUGAAAAUUCGAUAUGACUGGAUUUGAAAGGAACAUUAUGCAGGUUAAGAUAGUCGACAUAAAUAUUUUAGAGAAAAACGAAAUCAACUAGGGUAGAAGCACUAGUUGUUGAACAGGUACCAGAUAUUGAACACUAGUAAAACAUUAACCGAUUAAAACAGUAAUAUACAGUAGAAAAAUGAAUCAAAAUUCGUUGUGCCACUGUUGAAGCAUUUCCUACCUCUGUUCAAAUUUUUAUCAAGAAUCUCGGACUCUUAAAGCCACAAUCUCCGAAACUUGAAUAUGUGUUCAAAUUUUGACAUGGUUUUUCGACUGGAUGAAGAAAACAGCUUAUUUUUGAUUGGAGGAAAAAUUGGAUAAAAGACAAAUAAACGUCUAAGAUAAAGAUAUGAGUGGUUUCAACUAAGUCUUUUUAAAUGAUUUCUGGAAGAGUUGCAGCCUUUAUAAUCCUAAAUUUCUUAAAAUUUAACAAAUUAAAGCGUUCAAUCAUUGGAUAACAGAAAACGCCAAUGUUUCAAUUAUUGAACGUUCAAUCUUGCUGUACUCGUUUCGUAAAGAAAUGCAUGUACCAGUUAUUGAACAAACAUCGGUUGGUGUUUGGAAAUGUAAACAAACUAUUUCUCGGUUGCUAGCUCAACCAAAAUCGCCCCUGCAAGGCAUACUACCAAGCGAAAUACCCCUAAAUAUAUGCAAUGAUUUUCAAUGUUUACGUGUUCAAUAAUUAGAACAUUGCCUGUUCAAUAUUUGAAUCAUUGUGUUUAAUCAUUGGAACAAAAGUUAUUUUGAAUAAAAAGGCUUAAAUAAUAAUUUCAAAACAUAUUUCCGCGAAAAAAAUACAUCGAUUCGAAGCAGAGAAAUAAGCUUAAGCUACGCUAUCAAAAUUUUAUCAGAAAAAUCUUGCGUUAUUAUUUAUUGGCCACAAAUGUGUUGAAUCCCAAAGAUGGUGUUCAAUAUAUAGUGUUCUUACCCUACCUAUCACCAACUGAGCAAGCAGAACAUCAAUUAUUAAGUGUUAAUGUUUCUCCAAUGAUUGGAAAGUUUAUAACAGGAACAGAGAAAUCGAUUAGCUUAGAGAUUUUUUUAUGUCAUGCAUGUUGAAAACGAGCAAUGGAAAGAAGUGGAAUAGAAAAUAGAAAGUGUAGUAAUUUAAAAAAAAAUCAAUUAUGCAAUUAAUAAAUUUACUUGACAUGA